AUGUUGGCCCUCCUCUCCAGCGAGCAGGCACCUCCUCGACAAGCCCCUGAAGCAGCAGUCCACGGGUUGGCCCUCCUCUCUAGCGAGCAGCUCUGCCUACUGAACAUCGACAUCGCUGCCUACUGUACUUCAUUUGACAGCUGAUGGAUAUAUCAUGGGGAGGCAUCAUCAUCUCUUGCAUCCGAGAGUGACCAUGAUGAGGUUCAACCUAAUGAUUUUCAAGAGGAGAUUGACCUAGAUGACUAUGAUGAGAUGCUUGAAAUGAUUCAAGAUAUAGCACAUCAAAAUGGGGAUUUUAGUGAUGGUACUAGUGGGGAGGAUCCAAGUCACCAGGAUGGAGAGCCUGAGGGUGUCGACCCUCUUCUAGAGAAGAAAAAGAUGAAGGAUGAAGAUGCUUUCAGACAAUUCAUAGCUGAUGAUAGGGAGGAGCUUUAUCCAGGGUGCACAACCUUCUCAAAGCUACGUUUUGUUGUUAGAUUUGUAGAUGCUAAAGAAAUUUCUAGAGGCAACGCCAGUCAGCGACAAACUAAAAGAAAGAGCACCGUAGAAAAGCCUAUUGUUGAAGUAACUCGAGUCCUUAGGUCCCAAACGACUAGAGAUGUUGAUGACAUGCCAAGCGAUAACAUUGAAGAGCACGAUGGGGAAGAAGGGGAAAAACGCACUAGAAUGCACAAUGUGUAUGAUAGAUUGGGGACAGUCCCACCAAUUCGUGUGGAGUACAAUGGUGAUGGACAACCGAUUGGGGACAAUGCCUCGGAGUUUUCAAACUUCAUCUCCACACUUGUGAAAAGUAAAAUAUCUCUUGGGCAUAAUGAUUGGAGAAAGGUUGAUGUUGAGCAGAAAAAUCAUUUGUGGAAAACCUUGAAGAUGUACUAUGUUGUGGAUGACAAACUGAAGGAUUGGGUAAUGCGAAGCGCUGCGAAUAAAUGGAGGGAUUUCAAAUCUGAGUUGAAGACUUUGUAUUUUGAUGAGAAGAUGACCGAUGAGGAACUUCAAGUUGUACCAGAUAACAGAGUUAUCCCAACUGAUUGGAAAGAGCUUGUUGCUUUUUGGAAAACUGAAGCAGGGAAGCAACAUAGCGAGCAAGGAAGAAAAAAUCGAAUGGAGAUGGAAUUAUUGCAUACAUCAGGUAGCAAAAGUCAUGCUCGUGUUUCUCAUGAAAUGCAUAAGAAGAAUGGAUAUCCCCCUCAAAGACAUGAACUGUUUAUAGAAACACACACAUGCAAGAAGAUUGGUGUCCCUUCAAGUGUGGCUGCAGCAACUAUGUUUAAAAUGAUAGAAGAGAAGUCAAAUGAGUGUCCAGAACUUUUAGAAAAAAGCAUCAAGCAAGGUGACCUCUUCUCGCAUGUCGUAGGAAAGGAGAGGAAUGGGUAUGUGAGGUGUAUAGGUCUAGGACCAAGUGCUGCAGGUUUGGGCAUGCCAAGUACUAGAAAGCUGAAAUCCAUGAAGCUUCAAAUGACCGAGGAAGAAGCAAAGGAAGCUCGCCAAUCAAAUGCAAUUGUUGUCGAGCAUAGUAUGACUUAUCUCACUCUGGAUAUGGAUAUGGAGGUGGCCAUGGAGGUGGCUAUCGAUAUGAAGGUGGCCAUGGAGGUGGAUAUCGACAUGAAGAUGGAUAUGAAGGUGGCCAUGGAGGUGGAUAUCGACAUAAAGAUGGAUAUGAAGGUGGCCAUGGAGGUGGAUGUCGACAUAAAGAUGGAUAUGAAGGUGGCCAUGGAGGUGGAUAUUGACAUAAAGAUGGAUAUGAAGGUGGAUAUGGAGGUGGAUAUCGACAUAAAGAUGGAUAUGGUGGAUAUGGACAUGAAGGGGGGGUAUGAAAAUGAAGGGGAGUAUGAGCAUGAAGAGAGUGUAGAAUCUGUCACCCGCAGCCAUGAGGUGCGGCAAGAGAAAGAAGCAACCAUUUUGCAUAAGAAGGCUGAAGAAGCACUCUUGCAAAAGAAGUUAACAACACCCACUCAGAAAAACUUUGUACUUUCUAGUACCGCUCAACAUGAGGUGCUGCAAGAGAAGGAAGCAACCAUUUUGCAAAAUAAGAAGGCAACAGGGCUCACACAACAAAGUAAGGAUGUGGCACUUCAUCGCCACAAGAUGGCAACAAGCAAGGAAGUUGCAAUCACAAAAAAAAAUCAGCAGAAAGGAAAGGAUGUGAUCCUGUAUAAUGUUUAUCGAGAUCAUAGUAUCCCAGUGGCAAAAGCAACCAUUCUAUCAAUUGAUCGGAGAAAGGUGGUAGGUGGUCAGGAGCUUGGCUCUGAAUAUUGUGAGGUUGUCGUGAACUAUGUAAUAAAAAGGGAUGCUAUACUACCUCGUGGUGUUGGGAACAUGACCACCAUGGGGCAAGCUCAAGGGCGAUGUAUCGCAUGGCCAUACAAGCAUUUGGAAGUGGACAAGUCCAUGGAAAAAGCAGGAACGCGACCACAAGCAAGCUAA
rnacentral:rRNA from 1 species